rnacentral:RNase_P_RNA from 1 species
UAAACAGGUCACCUUAUCGCGCUCUCAUUUUAUGCGGGUGAGGAAAGUCCGGACACCAUAGUGCAGCAUAGCGGGUAACACCCGUCUCUUCCCCCAUGUGUGGAAGAAGGACAAGUGCAACAGAAAGCAGGUACAGGUAAUGCUGUAGUGAAAUCAGGUAAACUCUAUGCGGUGAAACGUCAUGUAUAUCAGCGUUUGAGAGCGGCACGCUCAAGCUGAAGGGUAGGCGGUUAGAACUUUUGGGUAACCAUAAGUCCAGAUAAAUGAUAAGGGGGUCUCUUUGAGGCUUUACAGAAUCCGGCUUAUGACCUGCUUUUAGA